GAAAACCACAAAUUCUUACAAUUUGAUGAAUCCAAAAUCUCAAUCUGCCUGAAAAUUCAAUCCUUCUGCCGCUCCGUUGAUUCAGAAGAAGCGUUUCAAUUGCACGAACUAGAAAUUUCUUCAGCAAUGACGGAGGAUAAUUGCCCUAGAGUUUCAUCUUCUGAAACCGUAGACUCCAAUUCUUCAUCGACGAAGCAAAGGAAACGGAGAAAGUGGGAUCAGCCUGCGGAGACAUUCGUUCCAGAAGGGGUAGCGGUAUCUGGGAUUUUUCCAUUGGCAAAUACUGGUUCUCUUGCUGGUAUCACACUACCUGGCGUGAUUCCAGUCUUGGGUGCUGCUUUUACGAAUCCUCUUACCACUAUUGGUGCUACUACAGUGCAGCAGCUUCCUGUAAUUAUUGCCCAAAAAUCAGUUCAACCGAAAAUUCAGGAUGAGUUGAUAGCAAGAGAAAUUGUCAUUAAUGAUGCUGAUCCGUCUGUUCGCUACAGGCUCACAAAGCGCCAAACACAAGAAGAGAUUCAGAAGAGCACGGGUGCUGUGGUUAUAACUAGGGGUAAAUACAAGCCUCCAAGCGCACCUUCUGAUGGUGAAAAACCCCUAUACCUUCAUAUUUCUGCUGGGGCACAUCUAGAAACAACACUUGAGAGGAUCAGAGCAGUUGAUCGUGCUGCUGCUGUAGUGGAGGAAAUGCUUAAGCAAGGUCCUGUUAACAAUGGAUUAAAGGUUAAUCAUCUGCUGAGUACUUGUGUAUACCUGGGCUUUGAGGCUGAUCCAUCAGCAAAUAUUACUGUGCGCAUUCGUGGACCAAAUGUGAGCUUUCUUAAUCUAACUUUGCUCAUUUCUCCUGAUUUAUUGAGUUAUUUUGGUAUGUUGCCUAUUAAGGGUUAAUUUCCUUACAUAAUUUUCAAUUUAUGAAUUCUCGCAUAUUUAACUGCAUAAAAAUUGGAUCCUUUGUUUUUUGUGAUUUACUAUCCAUUUGCCUUAUCAAUUUCUUUUACCUAUAUGCUGUGAUUUGCUGGCAAAUUUAAAUACCGGGAAGUUCAUUCAGCUGUUACUUCUCUGUUAUGGAUCAGAUAUUGGCAUCAUGUAUUCUCUUUAUUGAUCAGAUUAUGGUCUGAGUAAUUAUGUGAUUGUUUCUUCCAGUAGUUUGGGUGUAGUCCAUUCUCUACCCUGCCUGGCUAAUUAUCUUAUUUAUCUCUUUUGGCAUUAUGAUGCUUGAUGUGCUCCUUUAAACUUUAUUUUUAUUGAUAGAAAGCCAAGAGUUUCUAAUGUUCUGAGCUCUCUCUGACAUCUCCGUCCAUUUGGAGAGAUUUUCUUCUGUGCUGGUGGUUGGCUUUUUGUAAGUGCAGGAUCAGUAUAUAAAUCACAUUAUGAAU
rnacentral:misc_RNA from 1 species